rnacentral:rRNA from 1 species
CACGUAGGGGGCGAGCGUUGUCCGGAAUCAUUGGGCGUAAAGAGCGCGCAGGCGGCUUGGCAAGUCGGGUGUGAAAUCCCGGGGCUCAACCCCGUGACUGCAUCCGAUACUGUCAGGCUAGAGGUAGGUAGGGGAGAUCGGAAUUCCUGGUGCAGCGGUGCAAUGCGCAGAUAUCAGGAGGAACACCGGUGGCGAAGGCGGAUCUCUGGGCCUUACCUGACGCUCAGGCGCGAAAGCUAGGGGAGCGAACAGG